rnacentral:rRNA from 1 species
UACGUAGGGCGCAAGCGUUGUCCGGAAUUAUUGGGCGUAAAGAGCUCGUAGGCGGCUUGUCACGUCGGGUGUGAAAGCCCGGGGCUUAACCCCGGGUCUGCAUUCGAUACGGGCUAGCUAGAGUGUGGUAGGGGAGAUCGGAAUUCCUGGUGUAGCUGUGAAAUGCGCAGAUAUCAGGAGGAACACCGGUGGCGAAGGCGGAUCUCUGGGCCAUUACUGACGCUGAGAAGCGAAAGCAUGGGGAGCGAACAGG